UGGGGAAUAUUGCACAAUGGAGGGAACUCUGAUGCAGCGACGCCGCGUGAGUGAUGAAGGACUUCGUUUCGUAAAACUCUGUUCUAUGGGAAGAAAAGGCCUGUACCAUAGGAGAAAGCUCCGGCUCAAUACGUGCCAGCAGCCGCGGUAAUACGUAUGGAGCGAGCGUUGUCCGGAAUUAUUGGGCGUAAAGGGUGCGCAGGCGGCAUUACAAGUUGGCUGUGAAAUAUUGUGGCUCAACCACAAACGUGCAUCCAAAACUGCAAAGCUGGAGUUAAGGGGAGGUAAGUGAAAUUCCUGGUGUAGCGGUGGAAUGCGUAGAUAUCAGAAGGAAUACAGGUGGCGAAGCGGACUUACAGAAUAUAAACGUACGUUCAGGCAGAAAGGGGUGGGGAGCAAACGGG
rnacentral:rRNA from 1 species